GCAGGCUUACACAUGCAAGUCGAGCGGGCGUAGCAAUACGUCAGCGGCAGACGGGUGAGUAACGCGUGGGAACGUACCUUUUGGUUCGGAACAACCCAGGGAAACUUGGGCUAAUACCGGAUAAGCCCUUACGGGGAAAGAUUUAUCGCCGAAAGAUCGGCCCGCGUCUGAUUAGCUAGUUGGUGAGGUAAUGGCUCACCAAGGCGACGAUCAGUAGCUGGUCUGAGAGGAUGAUCAGCCACAUUGGGACUGAGACACGGCCCAAACUCCUACGGGAGGCAGCAGUGGGGAAUAUUGGACAAUGGGCGCAAGCCUGAUCCAGCCAUGCCGCGUGAGUGAUGAAGGCCCUAGGGUUGUAAAGCUCUUUUGUGCGGGAAGAUAAUGACGGUACCGCAAGAAUAAGCCCCGGCUAACUUCGUGCCAGCAGCCGCGGUAAUAC
rnacentral:rRNA from 1 species